rnacentral:lncRNA from 1 species
AUGGGGCAGCAUGAGCGCGUCCCCCAUCCCAUCGGAUUCACGCCUCACGAGGAACAUUUUGGAGAAAUCCUGCCGAGCCUGGAGCCAGAGCUUAAAAAGACAUCAGCGAAACACCGCGGGAGGCUUCGUGGGCUGACCACUGGCUCAGUCCUGGCGUGGGGAUGGAGGUGGCGCUCGGAGGUGGCCCCGGUGGCCACGGGUGUCUUUUGGGAGCCAGCAUGCCCCAGCCCCUUUCCCCCCGAGUCACCCUCCUGUCCUCGCAGUGCUGUGGGCACCCGAAACACCUCUGUACCAAGCUGGCAUCUCCCAGAGCCCACAAAGCCCUAUGGCAACGGGACCGUGCGGGUUUGGGACGAUCCAGUCGGGGAAACUUUGUUCAAAGACGGCAAGAGCCAGGCGUGGGGGUCCCUCAACCCAGGCGUGCAGAAAGGUAAGAGCCUCCCUGCCCCAUCCCCACAGCAGCAGGGACCCCUUGGGCACACGGAGCCCCCCGCACCCCGUAGCCAAGCCACCUUCCUCUCCGUGUGCCCCAUCCGUCAGGGCUUUCAAAGCUCAGGCCGGGAUGAUUGGCAUCCAAAACCAGAUGGGGAAGGAGCCGAGCCCCCUGACAGCCAUCCUGGUGCAUCAGCGGUGCUGCCAAAGCCCCAUGGGGCAGAGCACGGUGACCCCGGGUCCCCUCCCGGUGCUCCGGGAAUAUCUGAUGGAGAGGGGGCUGCCGGCCAGCCCUGGAGCUGAGGGGGCUCCUCCGGGCUUGGGAGAGCUGGUUCAGGGAGCAGGAGAACGGGGGUGCAACUGGGGAGGGGCUGCUGGGGCACGGGGUGGCUGGGAAGUGAUGGAUCCCCCGGGAGCUGGAGCCUUCCCCUGGGAAAAGCCAUCCCGGGACACGAGGAGCAGCCCGGAGCCUCCUGGGGGGCAUGGGGUUAUGUGGGGCCAGCACCCGUUCAGCUGCCUGGAGAGGGGAUAGGGCUCGGGGCUUGCUCUGAGCUGGAGAAGGGGAGCCCUGGGUUUGGGGUGGGAGCAGGGAGAGGCUGGGGCUGGGGGGGAGCCCUUUUACCUCCGCAUUGCGGACUCUGCCCAGCCAUGCUGUGAGAGCAGAGCCUUUUAGGAUCGCUGCAGGAUCCCCCGGGGAGCCGCAGAGGCAGGACUGAACCUUGCCACCCCACCCCACCCCAUCCCACCCUACCCAGCCGCACCCCCAGCACGGGGUGGGCGCACUGGAGAGGGGAGAAACACCGAGAGGUGCAGGGGGCGAAGGUGUGGGGUGGUUCCUGGUGAAGGCACAGCCUCAGGGAGUCCUGCAGCGGGGUGGCUGGGGGUGCGGUGACCCCAGAGGGGACAUUGGUGCCCGAUUCAGCCCCACAGAGGGUCCCGUCUCACCUGCACCUGCUGGGCAGCCGGGGCUUGGCUCGGGGCAGCAUUGCUCCCCGGUGUCAGCUCCCCCGGGGGGAUCCGUGCCCUUGGAGAUGCCCUAUGGCACCAGCCCAUCUGUGGGGACACGGGAUCAGGCCUCGCUGCGGCUUCUUUCGGCCUCCAGAGCCCCCGUGGGGUCCUCUCCUCCUGCCUCGAGGUGCAGGAUGCCGCAGGGAUGCUGCGGAGGAGACACAAGGAUGCCAACACCCGCGCCCCGAGCGCAGGAAAAACGCACCCGGGGGUGGGAAGGGGGCGACGUGGCAGGGGGCAAAGGGGCACGUCCCAUUCCCGUGCCCUGACGGGGAGCUUUGACCUCUCCGGGGCA